AUUGAACGCUGGCGGCAGGCCUAACACAUGCAAGUCGAGCGGAUGAAGGGAGCUUGCUCCUGGAUUCAGCGGCGGACGGGUGAGUAAUGCCUAGGAAUCUGCCCGGUAGUGGGGGAUAACGUCCGGAAACGGGCGCUAAUACCGCAUACGUCCUGAGGGAGAAAGUGGGGGAUCUUCGGACCUCACGCUAUCAGAUGAGCCUAGGUCGGAUUAGCUAGUUGGUGGGGUAAAGGCCUACCAAGGCGACGACCCGUAACUGGUCUGAGAGGAUGAUCAGUCACACUGGAACUGAGACACGGUCCAGACUCCUACGGGAGGCAGCAGUGGGGAAUAUUGGACAAUGGGCGAAAGCCUGAUCCAGCCAUGCCGCGUGUGUGAAGAAGGUCUUCGGAUUGUAAAGCACUUUAAGUUGGGAGGAAGGGCAGUAAGUUAAUACCCUGCUGUUUUGACGUUACCAACAGAAUAAGCACCGGCUAACUUCGUG
rnacentral:rRNA from 1 species